rnacentral:rRNA from 1 species
AACGAACGCUGGCGGCAUGCCUAACACAUGCAAGUCGAACGAGAUCUUCGGGUCUAGUGGCGCACGGGUGCGUAACGCGUGGGAAUCUGCCCUUUGGUUCGGAAUAGCAGUUGGAAACGACUGCUAAUACCGGAUGAUGACGAAAGUCCAAAGAUUUAUCGCCAGAGGAUGAGCCCGCGUAGGAUUAGCUAGUUGGUGUGGUAAAGGCGCACCAAGGCGACGAUCCUUAGCUGGUCUGAGAGGAUGAUCAGCCACACUGGGACUGAGACACGGCCCAGACUCCUACGGAAGGCAGCAGUGGGGAAUAUUGGACAAUGGGCGAAAGCCUGAUCCAGCAAUGCCGCGUGAGUGAUGAAGGCCUUAGGGUUGUAAAGCUCUUUUACCCGGGAUGAUAAUGACAGUACCGGGAGAAUAAGCUCCGGCUAACUCCGUGCCAGCCGCCGCGGUAA